rnacentral:ncRNA from 2 species
CAAUCUCUGACCAGCCGCGAUGCAAGGGAAGCCGAUGGGAUUUCGGCGCGGGGCCGCCACUGUGAUCCGGACCAAGCCGCAUUGGAGCCACUGGGUUGUCCCGGGAAGGCGCGGCGGGGGAUGAUGGUAAGCCAGGAGACCUAUCGCGGCGGUGGUAGCUGG